AUCCAGCUGACUAGCCCCAAAUGGGACGAAACGCGCGUCCUGGAU
rnacentral:hammerhead_ribozyme from 1 species